GGAGCAUUGGCGCAAUGGUAGCGCGUCAGAUUCCAGAGAAGUACUUCGGUACUUCGGGAUAUCCUGAAGGUUAGCGGUUCAACUCCGCUAUGCUUCA
rfam:Verruconis gallopava strain CBS 43764 unplaced genomic scaffold supercont1.12, whole genome shotgun sequence.